CGGAAAGACCCCGUGAACCUUUACUAUAGCUUGACACUGAACAUUGAGCCUUGAUGUGUAGGAUAGGUGGGAGGCUUUGAAGUGUGGACGCCAGUCUGCAUGGAGCCGACCUUGAAAUACCACCCUUUAAUGUUUGAUGUUCUAACGUUGACCCGUAAUCCGGGUUGCGGACAGUGUCUGGUGGGUAGUUUGACUGGGGCGGUCUCCUCCUAAAGAGUAACGGAGGAGCACGAA
rnacentral:rRNA from 1 species